AGGACGAACGCUGGCGGCGUGCUUAACACAUGCAAGUCGAGCGGAAAGGCCCUUCGGGGUACUCGAGCGGCGAACGGGUGAGUAACACGUGAGUAACCUGCCCUAGGCUUUGGGAUAACCCUCGGAAACGGGGGCUAAUACCGGAUAUUCACUGCUGAUCGCAUGGUUGGUGGUGGAAAGUUUUUCGGUCUGGGAUGGGCUCGCGGCCUAUCAGCUUGUUGGUGGGGUGAUGGCCUACCAAGGCGACGACGGGUA
rnacentral:rRNA from 1 species